rnacentral:tRNA from 1 species
GCGGGUGUAGUUCAGUGGUAGAACGUCAGCUUCCCAAGCUGAAUGUCGCCGGUUCGAUCCCGGUCACCCGCUCCA